rnacentral:lncRNA from 1 species
CCUUGAAUUGCAAGUCUUGUAAAGGUAUGGAUGGGAAACCCAUGAAUAUGGAAAUCUACAGUUUUUGAAGUGAAUAAACCUCUAUCAAUGGCCAGUAUUAAGGUUGCCAUGAGGAAAAUAUAAACCUUGUGUCUUCUGAGCUGUUCCGAGGCUCUUUCAGGACUGGAAUCCUUAUUCAAAAUAACGGAAUCAGUAAUGAAGAACGACUCCAUCAAUUAAAAAGACAAUUUACAUUUAUCUUUUCCAGAAUAAAUGUGUAUUUUAGAAGUUAAUUUAAUAUUUAAAUCAAGACACAUAAAAAUACAAGUCUCUUUGACUUAAUAAAAACUGAUAACACAACUUUCCUUUGUAUGAAGCAAUAUGAGCAGGUGGUAUUGUCAGGAAAAAGAC